rnacentral:rRNA from 1 species
GACGAACGCUGGCGGCGUGCUUAACACAUGCAAGUCGAACGGAAAGGCCCUGCUUUUGUGGGGUGCUCGAGUGGCGAACGGGUGAGUAACACGUGAGUAACCUGCCCUUGACUUUGGGAUAACUUCAGGAAACUGGGGCUAAUACCGGAUAGGAGCUCCUGCUGCAUGGUGGGGGUUGGAAAAUUUCGGCGGUUGGGGAUGGACUCGCGGCUUAUCAGCUUGUUGGUGGGGUAGUGGCUUACCAAGGCUUUGACGGGUAGCCGGCCUGAGAGGGUGACCGGCCACAUUGGGACUGAGAUACGGCCCAGACUCCUACGGGAGGCAGCAGUGGGGAAUAUUGCACAAUGGGCGGAAGCCUGAUGCAGCAACGCCGCGUGCGGGAUGACGGCCUUCGGGUUGUAAACCGCUUUCGCCUGUGACGAAGCGUGAGUGACGGUAAUGGGUAAAGAAGCACCGGCUAACUACGCG